UCCAACUGAGCUGACAAUACAAUACUAUUAUAUGAAUCACUCACUCAAAGCUUUUGGUGAAGGGUCGAGAAACACUGCAAAGCUGUUGGAACAUGAAGCAUGUGCAUCACCACGUAUAUAUAUAUAUAUUAUGUUUUUGCCUAAUAUAGCUGAAAAACAUGGUGAAGAACGACCCAAAGGUGUGACCUGCAUGUUGCGUCAGCUUUUGAUACGUAAAUAAAGGGUGUGAGGAGGCUAUCAGAUCAUUUUCAGCCACCAAAAUGUAACAAAAUGCACCAAAUCUUGCAUACAUUUGGGGUUUUGGUCAAAUUUUCAAUGGAACAAUAUCCUCACCUGCCCUUUUCUUUCAUAGAUUUGCUGUUUUGCAUUGCUUAGGUUGACACAUGUUAUUUGAGUCUAUCCACAUGAGAGCGUUAGAGUUUGCAUUGGUGGAUUUUUCUUCUUUACUUGUACAAGUAACUUCAGGUUUGGGAGUGUUUCCAGAGCAAAUGUCAUCUGUUGGUGGUUCUCAACCGGUUAGAAUUGAGCAUCAAGUGUCUUUUCAUCUAUGUAUACUUAAUGAAAGUUUUCUUUCUUUCAUUUUAGUAGGUAUAGUUGGUUCCAUUCAACAUGGGGUCCAAGAAUCAUAUCAAAUCAUCCAUCUUAAUUGUAAAUCAUUGACAUGAUGUCCAAUUACUACGUCAAGUGCUUAGUUUUGAUAUUAAUUGUAAAAUCGUUGAUUUUG
rnacentral:lncRNA from 1 species